GACGAACGCUGGCGGCGUGCUUAACACAUGCAAGUCGAACGGAAAGGCCCUGCUUUUGUGGGGUGCUCGAGUGGCGAACGGGUGAGUAACACGUGAGUAACCUGCCCUUGACUUUGGGAUAACUUCAGGAAACUGGGGCUAAUACCGGAUAGGAGCUCCUGCUGCAUGGUGGGGGUUGGAAAGUUUCGGCGGUUGGGGAUGGACUCGCGGCUUAUCAGCUUGUUGGUGGGGUAGUGGCUUACCAAGGCUUUGACGGGUAGCCGGCCUGAGAGGGUGACCGGCCACAUUGGGACUGAGAUACGGCCCAGACUCCUACGGGAGGCAGCAGUGGGGAAUAUUGCACAAUGGGCGGAAGCCUGAUGCAGCAACGCCGCGUGCGGGAUGACGGCCUUCGGGUUGUAAACCGCCUUCGCCUGUGACGAAGCGUGAGCGACGGUAAUGGGUAAAGAAGCACCGGCUAACUACGUG
rnacentral:rRNA from 1 species